rnacentral:rRNA from 1 species
GACGAAACGUGCGAACGUUGUUCGGAAUCACUGGGCUUAAAGGGCGCGUAGGCGGGUUCGCAAGUCUGUGGUGAAAGCCUCCAGCUUAACUGGAGAAGUGCCAUGGAUACUGCGCAUCUUGAGGAGGGUAGGGGCGUCUGGAACGGUCGGUGGAGCGGUGAAAUGCGUUGAUAUCGACCGGAACUCCGGUGGCGAAGGCGAGGCGCUGGACCCUUUCUGACGCUGAGGCGCGAAAGCCAGGGGAGCAAACGGG